rnacentral:tRNA from 1 species
GAGGGUGUAGCUCUGUGGUAGAGUUCAGGCUUAGCGUGCACAAGGUCCUGGGUUCAACCCCCAGCACCUCUG